AUUGAACGCUGGCGGCAUGCCUUACACAUGCAAGUCGAACGGUAACGCGGGGCAACCUGGCGACGAGUGGCGAACGGGUGAGUAAUACAUCGGAACGUGCCUAGUAGUGGGGGAUAACUACUCGAAAGAGUGGCUAAUACCGCAUGAGAUCUACGGAUGAAAGCAGGGGAUCGCAAGACCUUGUGCUACUAGAGCGGCCGAUGGCAGAUUAGGUAGUUGGUGGGAUAAAAGCUUACCAAGCCGACGAUCUGUAGCUGGUCUGAGAGGACGAUCAGCCACACUGGGACUGAGACACGGCCCAGACUCCUACGGGAGGCAGCAGUGGGGAAUUUUGGACAAUGGGCGAAAGCCUGAUCCAGCAAUGCCGCGUGCAGGAUGAAGGCCUUCGGGUUGUAAACUGCUUUUGUACGGAACGAAAAGCUCUGGGUUAAUACCCUGGGGUCAUGACGGUACCGUAAGAAUAAGCACCGGCUAACUACGUGCCAGCCGCCGCAGUAA
rnacentral:rRNA from 1 species